GAUGAAGAACGCAGCGAAUUGCGAUAAGUAAUGCGAAUUGCAGAAUUUCCGUGAGUCAUCGAAUCUUUGAACGCACAUUGCGCCCACUGGUAUUCCGGUGGGCAUGCCUGUUCGAGCGUCAUUAUCCUCCCUCAAACCCCGGGUUUGGUGUUGGACCCAAGUUGUGUGAACAACUGGUCUCAAAGACAAUGACGGCGUCCGUGGGACCCUCGGUGCAACGAGCUUUUAGGAGCACGCAUCGAGUUGCAAGGACCUUCCGGGCCGGUCUCCUUUACCAUUUUACAAGGUUGACCUCGGAUCAGGUAGGAAUACCCGCUGAACUUAAGCAUAUCAAUAAGCGGAGGA
rnacentral:misc_RNA from 1 species